rnacentral:rRNA from 1 species
AGUGAACGCUGGCGGUAGGCCUAACACAUGCAAGUCGAACGGCAGCACAGUAAGAGCUUGCUCUUACGGGUGGCGAGUGGCGGGCGGGUGAGGAAUACAUCGGAAUCUACUUUUUCGUGGGGGAUAACGUAGGGAAACUUACGCUAAUACCGCAUACGACCUACGGGUGAAAGCAGGGGAUCUUCGGACCUUGCGCGAUUGAAUGAGCCGAUGUCGGAUUAGCUAGUUGGCGGGGUAAAGGCCCACCAAGGCGACGAUCCGUAGCUGGUCUGAGAGGAUGAUCAGCCACACUGGAACUGAGACACGGUCCAGACUCCUACGGGAGGCAGCAGUGGGGAAUAUUGGACAAUGGGCGCAAGCCUGAUCCAACCAUACCGCGUGGGUGAAGAAGGCCUUCGGGUUGUAAAGCCCUUUUGUUGGGAAAGAAAAGCAGCAGGUUAAUACCCCGCUGUUCUGACGGUACCCAAAGAAUAAGCACCGGCUAACUUCGUG